rnacentral:sRNA from 1 species
AGAUAAUUAGAAAGAAAAUCUUCUAAUUAAAUAUUUGACAUUUAACAAUCUUCUUAAAAUCUUUCUACCUUAACUACACGAUUAAUUACUAAAAUAAAACUUUCAAAAUAUUUAAUAUCAUUUAAUUACUACAAAAUUAUCAUUUUUGAUGUUGCUUUUCUGCAUGAUUAUAAUCAUCAAAUCGCAGAGAUAUUUGAUAGCAUGUAAUUACUACAAAAUUACAAAAUAUUUAGACAAUAAUUCAUAAACAUAUCAUAAAUAAGGUCAACAUUAAUAAAAUAAAUGAGUUUUCUUUACAGGACAGGUUGGCGGGACGGGUUUGGCAGGACGUUACGUAAUAAUAAUUAUAAACUAUAAAAUAAAAAUAUUUUAUAAAUAGAUACAAUUUACAAUAUAUAUAUUAAUUUAAAAAAUAAAUUGUUCCCCCGAUAUACCGCGAGUUUAAAUAUAGUUUUAUAUACAUUUUGCUAGACUGCGAUCUUGUAAUCUUCUG